AUUGAACGCUGGCGGCAGGCUUAACACAUGCAAGUCGAACGAGUGGCGGACGGGUGAGUAAUGCUUGGGAAUCUAGCUUAUGGAGGGGGAUAACUACGGGAAACUGUAGCUAAUACCGCGUACCAUAGGAUGAGCCAAAGUGGGAUUAGGUAGUUGGUGAGGUAAAGGCUCACCAAGUCGACGAUCUCUAGCUGGUCUGAGAGGAUGACAUGCCAAACUGUGACUAGGACACGGCCCAGACUCCGACGGGAGGCAGCAGUGGGGAAUAUUGCGCAAAGGGGGCAACCGGACGCAGCGAUGCCGCGUGAAUGAAGAAGGCCUUCGGGUUGUAAAGUGCGUGCGGGAGCGAGGCGUUAACUACAGAAGAAGCACCGGCUAACUCCGUGCCAGCAGCCGCGGUAAUAC
rnacentral:rRNA from 1 species